AUACGGAGGAUCCGAGCGUUAUCCGGAUUUAUUGGGUUUAAAGGGUGCGCAGGCGGCCAUUUAAGUCAGCGGUUAAAUCGUGGGGCUCAACCCCAUUCUGCCGUUGAUACUGGGUGGCUUGAUUGCGGUCGAGGUUGGCGGAAUUCGUUGUGUAGCGGUGAAAUGCAUAGAUAUGACGAAGAACACCGAUUGCGUAGGCAGCUGACCAGACCGCAAAUGACGCUCAUGCACGAAAGUGCUGGGAUCGAACAGGAUUAGAUACCCUGGUAGUCCGCACAGUAAACGAUGAAUACUUGUUUUCGGCGAUAUAAUGUCGGAGGCAAAGCGAAAGCGAUAAGUAUUCCACCUGGGGAGUACGCCGGCAACGGUGAAACUCAAAUGAAUUGACGGGG
rnacentral:rRNA from 1 species